rnacentral:lncRNA from 1 species
UGAGUGUGAUGACAUUUAACUCCAACUGCAACAAUAUUUGCACAGUGAUGUAAACUUUACCAAGGGCAUUGCCAACCCUUUGCUCACUGGUAGAUCAGUGCCUCUUAAUUUUUUUCCUUCUUGCCAGUCUCCAAUGCUACCACCAAGGCUCUCUUGCUUUUUUUCUUUCCCCUCUCUCUCUACUCUUUUAAUUAAAUCCUAACUCAUCUCUCUGCUUCCAACCCUGCCUCUGCAUUAGUCAGUGCUUCUUAACAGGGGCAGGGCACACUCCUUGGAUUGUGGGAGUGGAAAAUUGAUUGGAUAUUGGUCACCACCAUAAUUGGAGAGGUACUGCUGCCGUUUAGUGUACAGAGGCCGCAGAGGUUAGAGACGCAGCAACGCAUGGCUAUUCAGCCACGGACGUCAAAUGCCUGCCAGACAUUUAGAUAAUUAUUUCAACUCUUCAAGAUUCUAAGGCCACAGACCAUUGAAACAUAAAGAAGACUAUAUAUGGAAUCUAGGAAGAGGAAAGGAAUUUGGGACAACUAUUUAAGACUGCAAGAGAAGAGCCACAGCUUGAGCCAAGGAUUUUUUGGAAGUUUAUCCACAAGACCUCAGGAGCUAGAUUCCAAUCUUUCUGAUUCAAAGAAUCCCCAAACUCAAUGAGGACACGUUUUCCUCCCGAGAACAGCAGAAUGGUAACAAAGAACACAUGAAAAGAAAAUGCUUUCAAGGACCAAAGGAAUUCAUCUACAAAUAUGGAAUUUCCAGCAUGGAAGUCAGUGACAAAGCCCUGGCAUACCCCCAUCGCAGGUGUCGUGAGAACACCGUCCAGUGGGACGAGGCCAGCCCUGCCCUGAGAAGCUGAGAUUCCCACCCCACCUGGAGGGAGCUGAGCACCCUCACAGCAACUCUGAGCCCCUGACUCCAAAGGAGACUCUUCUCCUGUGGUAUCAGACGUAGAGGGCGGGCUCCCUUAAAGUAAAAUUCCACAACAGGGCAGUAGAAAGAUGCAAUGAAACAUAUACGAGUUAUUAAAUAUUGUCAUCAAGAUGAGUAAUAAAUCAGACAUUUUAUGGUUUCUGAUUAUAAAUUCCAUUUAUUCCAUAAGUGUUUAAAGAAAGAAAAAUGGAGACCCAACAGAGAUUUAAGCCUGCCCGAGAUGGGUAUAUUUCAUGAUUGCUUUGUGACUGCUGCAUCCUGGGUGGAAUAGGGGUGGGGGAGAUACAAAAGGGCCCUCUCAGGGCCAGGAAGAAUGAAUUGCUGGGUUUCUGCGGCUCUGUGAGUGCAUUCAUUGUCAUGUGAGACUCUUCCUAAGAAUUCUUUUGAAGUCAGGAAUUCUGGCCAGGUUCCUGGUGGACACACUCUUGAAGAUAGCCUACUCCUUCAAAUCCCAAAACCAACUUAAACAAGAGGCCAGGCGAGAAAAGCCAACGUGGGGAGACUCCAUAGGUCCUGGCAGGUGGCACUGAACAAUGCAGAUCCUUAACAGGAGGGAGGAGAUGAACUGUCCCAAAGAGUGGCUGCUGCAGAUCAGGGAGCUGGGCACAAUCCCAGCACAGCAAGUGUUCAUUCAGUAAAAAGUAUGCCUUGGGGCCUGGCGCAGUGCCUCACGCCUGCAAUCCCAGCACUUUGGGAGGCCGAGGUGGGUGGAUCACUUGAGGCAGGGAGUUCAAGACCAGCCUGGACAGCAUGGAGAAACCCCAUCUCUACUAAAAACACAAAAAUUACUUGGAUACGGUGGCUCAUGCCUGUAAUCCCAGUUACUUGGGAGGCUGUGGCACAAGAAUUGCUUGAACACAGGAGGCAGAGGUUGCAGUGAGCCAAGAUGGCACCACUGCUCUCCAGCCUGGGUGACAGAGUGAGACUCUGUCUCAAAAAAAAAAAAAAAAGUUAUGCUUUGUGUUCAUAAAACUAUGCCUUCUCCUCAUAUAGUACUUUACAGUUUACAGGUGUUAUUUCAUUACAUUUUGCACUACGGUUCUAGCAUAGCCAUUGUUAUUUUUAUUCACAGACAGAAAAAAAUGAGGUUGUCUCACUCAUAUAACCUGGCCUCUCUCAGCUCUGGUUGCUGUGGAGAGUAGCAUAAGUGAUAUCUCUUCAAUGGUGGUUCUACUGCACAAAGAGAAAACAAAACGUUGUCUUCUGGCCUUCCAAUGGCAGAAUUUGACCUGCUUUUGGCUUUGAAAUGCCUCAUAUGAUAUUCUUCUAGCAGAUUUGUCUAAUUAUAUUUUGCUUGGGCUAAGAUUAAAAUUAAUUGGUCUUUUCAUGAUCACACAUCAGGAGAGUAAUAGGACCAGGCACCUGAGACCAAGCCAGGGAUUAAAGAUUGGUUAUGGAUAAUCCACUAGCCAGAGAGUCUGAAUGUGGUGGGAGAUGAGUGGAGGAGACCCAGUGGGCCUCCGGCAGCUUGUUUAUCACUGGCAUCUUCAUCACAAGCUUUAUGUGACAGGAUUUCUCCUGAUGUGCCCACAGCUGCUGCCUCACUGCACGCACACAAGUGUGUGUACACAGGCACCCACACAGCUGGAGAAGCACACAUAUGCCUCCUUCUGCAACAUGCACACUGUUGAUUAGCCUCUGCGGAGUGCUGACUCUUGGAGAAAGACCAGAUAAAUCGCUUUGGAGAGGGAGAAAAGGAAAAAAAUAUGAUAAAGAAAAAAAAAUCUACUUUAUCCCCCUUCAAAUGCCACAAGAAAAUGUCACGGAAAUCGCUUUGCUGGAAAUAACAGAGAAGUUCAAAACAAAAUUGUUGAGUGUCACUCCUGGGCCCGACUCUCCCUUGCACUGGGCCCCUCCUCAGCCUGGGAGGCUCCUCGCUGCCUCUGCCACCACUCACCCUUCAGGAUGCCACUGCUGCAGCCUCCAGGAACUGAAAAACAGUUCUUGGAAAGCCUUCCACUAAAGGGAGUAAUCGAGAAUAAACAAAGGACAAAGACAUGAGUGGGAAAGAGCUCUUUCCCUGCCAGCUGGCCACUUCCAGCUCCAGGACAGUGUCCAUGAAGCCCACAGAAGGGAGACUCAUCAUCAUUUUCAAUGUCGUCAUUACCAAAAGCCUUUCUUAUGCGAUUCAUUGUGCAAGGCUGUGUACAGAAACUGUUGAAGGAUCCUUUUGCUUUCUUGUGACUUAAAAUCCAUGACAUUUCACAAUGCUACAAAAGGCGUCUCUGAUUUCCUUGGGUAUAGCUUUCUUUUUUCUUUUUAACUUUCUAUUCUUCGUCUAAUAUAACAGCACCACAGUGCACAACAGUGCUUGGCUGAAGGACAUGAAAACAUAAAUUUUCUGCAUUAUUAUAGAUUCAUCCACUCAUUCACUGAUUCAUUCAACAUUCCAAAAAUUCAGAGCCUACCAUAUUAAAUACCAGGUCCUCAACCAGGCUGUCAAGACAGAGGUGUAAACAAUUCACAGAUCCUGCCUUCAAGGAACUCACCAAAUAUUAUAAGCAGUGAUGUUCAAUCUCUUUUUUUCUUUUAAAGUGUAGGGAAACUUUCUCUACGUAAAAUGUUUCCAGGAAGCCCAAUGUAUAAAACCAAUAAACCAGAAUUUUUUGAUUAAGUGAGGAAGGAUAGACAGUGAGGGGAAACAUUUUAAGGAGAAAGUAUUAAACCCAUUCUAUAUGUGAUGAAAUAAGGCUCAUGGGGUUUAAGUAGCUUUUCCAAGGCGCAGUGAACAAGUGGAGAAUCCAGGACAAGGCCCCAGUUCUGUCUCAGCUUAAGUCUCUAUUCUUGCCUUUGGCCGGCUGCUGCCCCAUCAGGCCCCGUCAUACAAAUAGGCACCAAGAAGGGGACCUCAGCCCUCGCCUUCCUGAGUUUGUUCUUUACAUAGUUAGUUAAUAGAAAAACUCUCUUCAAUUACAAAUCACAACUAAGUUUCUCAUUACUGCAGACCUAUCCCUCGUACAGAAAAUCCAACUGAUAAGGGUUGAGAAUUGGUAUUAUGAUCCUUUUCCUGGGCUGGAAUAAGACCUUUGGCAAUAAUACAGCCCUGAUUAAUCUUUGGAUUAACCAAAUCAAAAUGAUCCUAAUUAUUCCUUACAUUUAGAUGAACUAGUUUAGAGAACAAUUUAGGCAGUUUUAGAAGGAAUAGAGAUAGAUCUACGCAAAAGACAAAUUUUUUAUUAAACUAAUUGCUAGUCCUUGGCUGAGAAUGCACAAGAAAUAGUAAAAUAGUAAAGGUUUAACUACCACCCUCAAAACUGGGGCCUGUAAGAUUUGAAUGUUACAAUUAAGAAACUUAGUCAAUUGAAAUAUAAACUCUGGGUUUAAAAUGUGUUUCAUACGGUGUGCAACAAUAUUUCUUUAGUGGAGAAUGUCUUAACUGUUAUUUUGUUGUUGCUGCUGCUUGGUUUUUUUGUUUUUAAAAACAAUUGAAAAAAAUUAGCCAUCAUGAUGAACACAAUUCCUCUUCAAAGAAAUGACUUAAAACCAGGAUGACAAGCAUGAUAAAACACAGCAUGCCACAUGCCCUAGAUUUAUAGCUCUUGUUCCACAUCUUGCUGGACUGUCAGUCAAAAUGACUCAUCCCAUUUGUGUGCAGGAGAGGUGAUGGGCCACAUUUUCCCCAACCUACCUCUUUCCAGACCUUGAACUGUGGGAGCCCAGGUGAGACCAAGAAGGCCUUUAUUUUUAUUUUCUUUUCACAUUGAAGCAACCAUCAAGGCUUGGGACUAACACCCUGUUGCUGAUAUAUAUAUAUAUAUAUAUAUAUAUAUAUAUAUAUAUUAUAUUAUAUUAUAUAAAUAUAUUAUAUGUAAAUAUAAUAUAUAUAAUAUAUAAUAUAUAAUAUAUAUAUAAAAGCUGGAAACCAUCAUUCUCAG